GGUAACAACGAAUGCUCCGGAAAACGAAAGCUGUCGUCAGGGAGUGAAGAAACCAGUCAGAAACCAACCAAGAAGAAAAAAUCUUCGGAUGACGAGUAGUGCAAGGCCAGUUUCUGAGUUUUGAAAAAAAGACCUUGUACGUUACUGCAUAUUUUUGGUCCACAGAAUAAUUUUGGAUUAUAAGCAUCAUUUGUUUUGCAUGUUUGUACACUUGAUUCAUUGUGUGACAACUAUUUUCUUAAAGAUAUGUGUGUGGUUGGCCUAUUUCUUCUCACAAUGAAAUUCCGAAGUAUCCAAGCGUAAGCUUAGAAAUGAAAUUCGAAUGCAAUUCAAAUAAUGCAAAUAUUUAAAAAUGGCUUAAAGGAUAUGAGAUAUAAUUGUGUGUUAUUGACUACGCUAAUAGGACAAGAAAAAUUUUAUAACGGUAUGUAAAGAAUAAAAUGAAUAGGUUUGUUCCUGUUACAUUUGAUCAUUGACGGUGGUGGGCAAUAUUCAUGUCGUGAUGCUGUUGCCAAGAGUUUAAUACACUUUGAUAUUGUAUCGUACACACAUAUUGUUAAAGUUUUGUUGUAUAAAUUUGAGUAUCAGUGAAGG